rnacentral:rRNA from 1 species
CAAACGACUCUCGGCAACGGAUAUCUCGGCUCACGCAUCGAUGAAGAACGUAGCAAAAUGCGAUACUUGGUGUGAAUUGCAGAAUCCCGUGAACCAUCGAGUUUUUGAACGCAAGUUGCGCCCAAAACCAUCCGGUUGAGGGCACGCCUGCCUGGGCGUCACGC